GAUGAACGCUAGCGGCAGGCUUAAUACAUGCAAGUCGAGGGGCAGCACGGUUAGCAAUAACUGGUGGCGACCGGCGCACGGGUGCGUAACACGUAUACAAUCUACCUUAAACAGGGGGAUAGCCUUUCGAAAGAGAGAUUAAUACCCCGUAAUAAAUUGAACGGCAUCGUUUGAUUUUGAAAGCUCCGGCGGUUUGAGAUGAGUAUGCGUCUGAUUAGCUAGUUGGUGAGGUAACGGCUCACCAAGGCGACGAUCAGUAGGGGAUCUGAGAGGACUAACCCCCACACUGGUACUGAGACACGGACCAGACUCCUACGGGAGGCAGCAGUAAGGAAUAUUGGUCAAUGGAGGCAACUCUGAACCAGCCAUGCCGCGUGCAGGAUGACGGCCCUAUGGGUUGUAAACUGCUUUUAUACAAGAGAAAACCCUGGUACGUGUACCAGGUUGAUAGUAUUGUAAGAAUAAGCAUCGGCUAACUUCGUGCCAGCAGCCGCGGUAA
rnacentral:rRNA from 1 species